ensembl:snoRNA
ACCCCCUGGCAAUGGGCAAAGAGACACCUCAUUGGUGGUGGUGCUCUUAUAUCAGUCAGGGGCAGAGCAGACUGACAGUCCUUUGUUCAUCCUAGCUUGAUGCCUGGGUUGGUGGCCAGAGCUGUUUCAUGCCUGGGGCACAUAA